UGUGCACAAUGGCAGCGCUAGGAGUAGAGGUCACUGGUGGCCGAUGAACUCACAAGCGUAGGUAGUGUGCUACAUGAGUGUUGGCAAGCUCUUAGCUGCUAACACUCCAUUCUGGCCCAGCGAGAGGAGCUUGAAAGUAACCCCUGCUAUAAGU
rnacentral:snoRNA from 1 species